GAUGAACGCUGGCGGCGUGCUUAACACAUGCAAGUCGAGGGAAGCAUACAUGGAAUUAGUUUUCGGAUUGAGGAAAAUGUAUGACUGACCGGCGGACGGGUGAGUAACGCGUGGGUAACCUGCCUCAUACAGGGGGAUAACAAUGAGAAAUCGUUGCUAAUACCGCAUAAGACCACAUUUUCACAUGAGAGAGUGGUAAAAACUCCGGUGGUAUGAGAUGGACCCGCGUCUGAUUAGCUAGUUGGUAAGGUAACGGCUUACCAAGGCGACGAUCAGUAGCCGGCCUGAGAGGGCGACCGGCCACAUUGGGACUGAGACACGGCCCAAACUCCUACGGGAGGCAGCAGUGGGGAAUAUUGCACAAUGGGGGAAACCCUGAUGCAGCGACGCCGCGUGGAGGAGGAAGUAUUUCGGUAUGUAAACUCCUAUCAGCAGGGAAGAAAAUGACGGUACCUGACUAAGAAGCCCCGGCUAACUACGUGCCAGCAGCCGCGGUAAUACGUAGGGGGCAAGCGUUAUCCGGAUUUACUGGGUGUAAAGGGAGCGUAGACGGCUUAGCAAGUCUGAUGUGAAAACCCAAGGCUCAACCUUGGGACUGCAUUGGAAACUGCCAGGCUAGAGUAUCGGAGAGGCAAGUGGAAUUCCUAGUGUAGCGGUGAAAUGCGUAGAUAUUAGGAGGAACACCAGUGGCGAAGGCGGCUUGCUGGACGAAGACUGACGUUGAGGCUCGAAAGCGUGG
rnacentral:rRNA from 1 species